AUUGAACGCUGGCGGCAGGCCUAACACAUGCAAGUCGAGCGGAUGAAGGGAGCUUGCUCCUGGAUUCAGCGGCGGACGGGUGAGUAAUGCCUAGGAAUCUGCCUGGUAGUGGGGGAUAACGUCUGGAAACGGGCGCUAAUACCGCAUACGUCCUGAGGGAGAAAGUGGGGGGUCUUCGGACCUCACGCUAUCAGAUGAGCCUAGGUCGGAUUAGCUAGUUGGUGGGGUAAAGGCCUACCAAGGCGACGAUCCGUAACUGGUCUGAGAGGAUGAUCAGUCACACUGGAACUGAGACACGGACCAGACUCCUACGGGAGGCAGCAGUGGGGAAUAUUGGACAAUGGGCGAAAGCCUGAUCCAGCCAUGCCGCGUGUGUGAAGAAGGUCCUCGGAUUGUAAAGCACUUUAAGUUGGGAGGAAGGGCAGUAAGUUAAUACCUUGCUGUUUUGACGUUACCAACAGAAUAAGCACCGGCUAACUUCGUG
rnacentral:rRNA from 1 species